GAACCCUGACGGAGCAACGCCGCGUGCGGGAGGACGGCCUGUGGGUUGUAAACCGCUUUUCUCAGGGAAGAAGUUCUGACGGUACCUGAGGAAUCAGCAUCGGCUAACUCCGUGCCAGCAGCCGCGGUAAUACGGAGGAUGCAAGCGUUAUCCGGAAUUAUUGGGCGUAAAGCGUCCGUAGGCGGUGAGUUAAGUCUGCUGUCAAAGCCUGCAGCUCAACUGUGGAGUGGCAGUGGAAACUGAUUGACUAGAGUGCGAUAGGGGUAGAGGGAAUUCCCAGUGUAGCGGUGAAAUGCGUAGAUAUUGGGAAGAACACCAGUGGCGAAGGCGCUCUACUGGGUCGCAACUGACGCUGAGGGACGAAAGCUAGGGGAGCG
rnacentral:rRNA from 1 species